UGCAAAGUAAUCUGCAUACACACAUUUUUUAUCUGGUAUCUUAGACACAUAACGAACCCAGUGAGGUUGGGUUUAGCAUGUUUGUGAAUGCCGAUAUUUAAAAAGCCUUGAGAACGAUUUAAAAUAAUAUACGACACUAAAAAUGCUUUAUAGCCAUACUACUCAAAUUUUGCUAUAAAUUUGAGACACCGGGACAAGAAAUCAAUUAUAUCCAUCAUAUAUUGAUGUUCUAUCAAAACAACGUAGAAAGGCAGCAGUAGUAUACCGCUCUUAUAAAUCGAUUGGGAGAAAACA
rnacentral:lncRNA from 1 species